rnacentral:lncRNA from 1 species
AGCCUAGGAGGCAAUCAGUUGUCCAGCUGGGAAAGGAGCUUCCCUUCUUCCCUGGCUAGGGAAAGGGAAGCUUAUACUCAUCAGCUAGAAUGGGGAUCAGGGCAGCAGAAGCAGUACCUGUUUGGGCCCAGGGUGCUGUGGCUGAGGUAGCAGUUUGAGGCAGUGGGGGAGGAGUGAGCCUGCCACUUAGCUGGGAUUUGGCCAAGUUGUGGGCAGGAAUGGCCAAUCAGGCUGAUUGGGCUGCUCUUCAGGCCAUGGGCAGGGAUCGGCUUCCCCACCAAGUCCCUAAAUUAAGGCAGGUUGGCCAGUAAGAAUGGCCGGCAGGCUGGGGUAUAAAAUACUCACAGCUACUGGAGGCUCAGAAGGCAGGAAAGCUAGAGGAAUGAGCUGCAGCUGGGUGGCUAGAGAGGGGAUUUGAAAAUUCCCAGCAGAAAAGUAGCUCUUGGUUGCAAACCAUUACCUGUUUUAAACCUUAGGGUUGCUCAUCUGCAGCUGGGCUGCCGGCUUAAAAAAAAAAUAGCUCUGAGCUAUAAGUCCCUUCAUAGUUGCCAAAAAUGUAAAGAUUAAAAUUAAUAUUCAUUAUUCCAAGUAUUAUUUUAAUACCAUUAAUUAAAAUCGACUUAGAGCAAAGAGAAAUUUAAAAAAUACUCCAGCAAGCACCCAAAAUGUUCUCUCCUUCCUGCUGAUACCAGCCCAAGAGACUGUGUGGGUGGAAAACAGAAACUCAAAACUCCAUCCAGAUGAAUCUUCUUUGCUGACAAUCUCCAUAUGGAUGUGUCCUCUGUGCUUCUCCUCGAGCUGCCUCCUAGCCACCCAUAUUCGGAGCUCUGAGCCUGGUACAGCUUUACCUGAAAGAAAAAGCUUUUGACGAAAUACAACACCCAUUAAUAUUAAGAACACUGGAGAACAUUGGAAUAAAUGGAAGAAUAAUCACUUCUACAUAUAAAAAUUUGGAGGUAAUUAUUUUUUUCUUUCUGUGGCAGUUACUGUUCUUCAUCUGAGGUACUUUUUGAAUUUGAAU